UGUCCUGAGGCUCGGCAGUGCUGCAUUGCUUUUUACUCGGUAUUUACGGCUGUGAUACUUUAACUCUCCUAAGGAAUCCAUCAGAUGUGCACCUCUGCUUACCACAGUUGUUAAUACAGUGGAGUCCCUCAGUGUGGUUUAUAUCACAGACUUUAAUUUUGGAUUGCUUACUUACGCAUAGUAACUAGAUUUAUUCUGUAUUAGAAAUAGUUUCUGCUCAGAAUAAUGAGGAAGCCAAUACACCACCAUAUAAGUGCACACACGAGUGCACAUAUGUACACACAUUUCAGUUUUAUUUUGUUUCAGUUUUUAAAAGGCUUUUAGGGGAGGGUUUCUGUCUUGUUUUUAAGGUACUGAUCAUCAAACCUAAGGCCUAAAAUCGAACUAAACGCUAGGUAGGCAUUCCACCACUGAGGUAUAUCCUCCACUCUUUUUUUUUUUUUAAAUAAAUAUAUACUUUUUUGAGACAGAGUCACUGAGUUGCCCAGGCUAACCUUGAACUUUUGUGAUCCUGCUGUGAUUAUAGGCCUGCCUCAUCAAGCCAUAUCAGAAUUCCAUUAGUAAUCUUAAUAAUGUGCCUUCAUUUAAAUAUUACAACUGCCAUGCGCCAAUUGCCCUGGUAGAUGCUAGGGUUACAAACACAUGCCCACAGUGUCCCCCUGAAGCUUAGAAUUGGUGGAGAGGACAGAAGAGCAGGCAGAGAGAAGUAACACAUCUGACAAAUACAGUAGCAGAAGUAGUCGUGAGUUGUAUUGGAAUUUUGUCCUGUAACAGCACUGUGAACGGUAACCAGUCUUGUCUUCUCUCAGAGUCUUUCUUCAGCUCAUGUGGAAGUCUACACAAACUGAGUGAAGAGCCACUAGUUCCUCCUCCGCUUCCCCCUCGGAAAAAGUUUGAUCACGAUGCUCCGAACUCCAAGG
rnacentral:lncRNA from 1 species